UAUGUCUGUCUGCGUUUGUGAUAAAGGGCACAAGGCGAGCAGUAUUUCCCUCAACCAGAGUGCUUGAGCCAAGCAGAGGAGGCUUGUGUUGACAGCCUCCGUUUACUCAUGGAAAAAAGCACACAAUGUCAAGAAUAUACAACAAUGUUCCGUGGAGGGUACUACCCACCAAAGGAAGUUCCAAGAUGCAACAACAAUAAUGGAAUGUUUCUGAACAUGUACCUCGGAGUCAGUCCCUAUCUACUCUGAUGUAUGGGAAUUGUAAUGUCACCAGUUUUCCACAGUCUAAAUGU